GUAGGUGGCAAGCGUUGUCCGGAAUUGUUGGGCGUAAAGCGCGCGCAGGCGGUUCUUUAAGUCUGAUGUGAAAGCCCACGGGCUCAACCGUGGAGGGCCAUUGGAAACUGGAGAACUUGAGUACAGAAGAGGAAAGCGGAAUUCCACGUGUAGCGGUGAAAUGCGUAGAGAUGUGGAGGAACACCAGUGGCGAAGGCGGCUUUCUGGUCUGUAACUGACGCUGAGGCGCGAAAGCGUGGGGAGCAAACAGGAUUAGAUACCCUGGUAGUCCACGCCGUAAACGAUGAGUGCUAAGUGUUAGGGGGUUUCCGCCCCUUAGUGCUGCAGCUAACGCAUUAAGCACUCCGCCUGGGGAGUACGGCCGCAAGGCUG
rnacentral:rRNA from 1 species